UGGGGUACAACUUAGUGGUAGAGUGUAUGCUUAGCACGCCACGCAUAAGGUCCUGGGUUCAAUCCCCAGUACCUCCA
rnacentral:tRNA from 1 species